rnacentral:rRNA from 1 species
GACGAACGCUGGCGGCGUGCCUAAUACAUGCAAGUCGAGCGGACUUUCAAGUAGCUUGCUUUUUGAAAGUUAGCGGCGGACGGGUGAGUAACACGUGGGCAACCUGCCUGUAAGACGGGGAUAACUCCGGGAAACCGGGGCUAAUACCGGAUAAUAUCUUUCUUCGCAUGAAGGAAGGUUGAAAGGCGGCGCAAGCUGCCGCUUGCAGAUGGGCCCGCGGCGCAGUAGCUAGUUGGUGAGGUAACGGCUCACCAAGGCGACGAUGCGUAGCCGACCUGAGAGGGUGAGCGGCCACACUGGGACUGAGACACGGCCCAGACUCCUACGGGAGGCAGCAGUAGGGAAUCUUCCGCAAUGGACGAAAGUCUGACGGAGCAACGCCGCGUGAGCGAAGAAGGUCUUCGGAUCGUAAAGCUCUGUUGUCAGGGAAGAACAAGUACCGUUCGAAUAGGGCGGUACCUUGACGGUACCUGACCAGAAAGCCACGGCUAACUACGUGCCAGCCGCCGCCGUAA